AGUAGCAACCUGAGCUCUUACGUCUGUAUGUGCAAUCAUAAUCAAUUAUUCAACUAGAUUUCUAAAAAAGAAAUUGUUAAAUUAUUCACAAAUAGAGGUUUAUAUUUUCCAAAUUUGCUUUAAUCAUCACUCAAAAAAGUUUCAAAAAUCUUCCAAGGAUCCCCAAAAAUUUCAAAUUAAUGACACUACCAUCGUACAACUGCUUCUCUUGUCUAAAA
rnacentral:misc_RNA from 1 species